rnacentral:rRNA from 1 species
CCUACGGGCGGCAGCAGUGAGGAAUAUUGGUCAAUGGUCGGGAGCCUGAACCAGCCAAGCCGCGUGAGGGAGGAAGGUACAGAGUAUCGUAAACCUCUUUUGUCAGGGAACAAAGACUGGGACGCGUCCCCGGAUGAGGGUACCUGAAGAAAAAGCAUCGGCUAACUCCGUGCCAGCAGCCGCGGUAAUACGGAGGAUGCGAGCGUUAUCCGGAUUUAUUGGGUUUAAAGGGUGCGCAGGUGGUCUGUUAAGUCAGCGGUCAAAGCCCGGGGCUCAACCCCGGCGCGCCGUUGAAACUGGCAGUCUCGAGUUGGAGAGAAGUACGCGGAAUGCGCGGUGUAGCGGUGAAAUGCAUAGAUAUCGCGCAGAACUCCGAUUGCGAAGGCAGCAUGCCGGCUCCACACUGACGCUGAGGCACGAAAGCGUGGGUAUCGAACAGGAUUAGAUACCCUUGUAGUC